GUCAAUGGCCAUGCUACCCUGAACAAGCUCGAUCCCGUCUGAUCUCGGAAGCUAAGCAGGGUCAGGCCUCAUUUGUACUUGGAUGGGAGACCACCUAGGAAGACCAGGUGCUGUAGGCA
rnacentral:rRNA from 1 species